rnacentral:rRNA from 1 species
CUCAAAGGAAUUGACGGGGGCCCGCACAAGCGGGGGAGCAUGUGGUUUAAUUCGAUGCAACGCGAAAAACCUUACCUACUCUUGACAUCCUUGGAAGCUCAUCGCAGGGUGAGUGUGCCUUCGGGAACCAAGUGACAGGUGCUGCAUGGCUGUCGUCAGCUCGUGUCGUGAGAUGUUGGGUUAAGUCCCUUAACGAGCGCAACCCCUAUCUUUAGUUGCCAGCGAGUCAAGUCGGGGAAUCUAAAGAGACUGCCGGUGUUAAACCGGAGGAAGGCGGGGACGAUGUCAAGUCAUCAUGGCCCUUACGAGUAGGGCUACACACGUGCUACAAUGGACGGUACAAAGGGCUGCGAAGUCGCGAGAUGGAGCUAAUCCCAAAAAGCCGUUCUCAGUCCGGAUCGGAGUCUGCAACUCGACUCCGUGAAGUCGGAAUCGCUAGUAAUCGCGAAUCAGCAUGUCGCGGUGAAUACGUUCCCGGGCCUUGUACACACUGCCCGUCACGCCAUGGGAGUGGGUUUUACCAGAAGCAGGUAGACUAACCGAAAGGAGGUCGCUUACCACGGUAGGAUUCAUGACUGGGCGAAGUCGUACAAGGUAGCCGUAGGGGAACCUGUGGCUGGAUCACCUCCUUAACG